CUUCCCCUUCUUUUCAUCCCUCUAGGCUUCUGCAAUUUCUGUCUACCCGCAAAAAUCCAGAGGAUACCCAGUUGCCCUGAGGUGUACCUGACUUAAUUGCUCUCUUGAACCCUGAUUUUUCUCGUAUCUAGAGUCGGCAAUUUUUUACAGACUCUUCAGGCAUGGAAGCAAUGAAGAUGAAGCUCUUUGUGGCUCUCAUGGUGGCAGUCGUGGCUUUCUCCGCCGUGCAGAAGGCUGCAGCUGCUGAUGCUCCUGCGCCAACCCCUGCAUCUGAUGCAGCUCUCUUUGUUCCUACCUUCUUUGCCUCUCUUGGUGCUUUGGCUCUUGGGUUUCUCUUUUGAGCAAACCAAGAAUGUCAAAGUCCUCAUUUUUAGAUAUAGAAGAACAUGGUUUCUCUGAUUCUCUCCAUUUCUCCUUGGUUCAUUAUCUGUUUUUUUUUUCUUCUCUCACCUCUGAUGGUUUCAGCCAACUACCUCUGCUGUUUGGUGCACGAGAAUGCGAGAAAAGAAGGAAACGGGAUGGAAAAAUUCUCCUCUUUUUUGUAUUAUGUUAUUUUGGAGAUGUAGUUUUAAGUUUAAUCAUUAUGAUUUUUAUUGUUUGAGGUGAGGUGUGAUUGUUGUGUUAUUUGAGAUAUUUGUAUUACAUUGACUUUUGUUAUAUAUAUAUAUAUAUAUAUAUGAAUCUUCUUCUGUAAUUAUCUUUGCUUAGUAGGGAGGAGGAUCUUAGGGUAAUUAGGAGAUGUUGAUGGGUGGGAUUAUGAUAUGUUUUGAUGGAUGAUGUAUAAUGGAACUUAAUUACCAGCUUACUCUCAUUUGUAUCUAUGAUUUAUUCUCGUAAUAAAAAUUGAUUCUUGUUUGUUCUUAGGCUUCUAUAGUUGGUUUAUAUUUACUAUGAGAAUUAUAAAGAGUUAUAGAGAGAGAGAGAGAGAGAGAGAGAGAGAGAGAGAGAGAGAAGCAAAAUAAGGGAGAUGAAGAAAAAAGGGUUCCUUAAAUUUUGAUUUUUGAAAUUGGGGAAGAGAAGAGAGUUUUAACUGUUCAAUGAUCUUUUGGAUCUUGAAUUACCCAUUUGACAAUUUUUUGAAAACAUGUCUUCUUUACAUUUGGUUUUUGAAACUGGGUUUUCAUAAUCUUGAAUUAGGAACUGGUAACUUCUUGGAAGAAAAAGGAAAAUGGACACCACCAUACUGGUAAUAAUUUUUGAGAAAUGGGUGUUCCUCAAAGUUGAUUUUUAUUGAAUAGUUUGGGAAAAUGUUGUGGUAAGCAAUGAGCUGUAAAGUUUUGGCAGAUUCUCCUGGAGAUGGUUUGAGUGUCAGCAUGACAGUUUUUUGUAGGGUUUAUCAAAAUGUAGUAAAUUGUUGGCAUUGCCCUAUUUGCUUUCCAUGUGAGUUAAAGAGGCUGGAAUUGCAAGAAAAGUCAUGAAGCAAAAAGCUUCAAAACCCAAAAAUCAAUAAUGUUAAAGUGGGUAAAAAAUAUGGUUAAAAUUGUGAAAUAUGUAUAUAUAUAUAUAUAUGUAUAUAUAUAAUAAACACACUAAUGAAUUUAAACAUGAACAUAAUAACUUCCACUUCUUUCAGUCACUUUCUGUAUUUCAUUUGUGUAUGGCUCAAUUUUAUGAGUCAUAUUUUAUAAUAAAGCAUCCAAGAAAAUAUUCUCUUGUGCCAUGGAGAAAAUUAAUUUGAGGCCAUGUGAUUGUGAUUGUGACCUUACCAUCUAGAUAUUCUUCAAUUACAGCCAUACAUGUAUGUAUAUAUAUAUAUAUAUAUAUUUAUAUAUACUAUUACUAUUAUUGUUAUUCUGUUAAUUCAUUUCUCAGUCUUGCCCUGUAAAAAUUAUAGAAACUAGAACCACAAUCUUAGAUUUUCAAAUUGCUUGUGCUUCAUUUUUGGUUUUGAUUUGGUCUUCACCUUCUCUUUUCUUAACUUUGACUACUUUUUAGUACAAGAAAAUCAUUUUUAACUUUCAUAAACACACACACACAUAGAUAUAUAUAUAUAUAUACAUUGUGGGUGUAUCAGAGGCUGCUUUCACCUAUAAUCAAGUGAUUAACUCAAUUUAUUGAUGUAUUAAAUGAGAAUUCAAUGGUUGAGUUGAUUUAAUAUCUUUUUUUUUUUAUAAACAAACAUAUAUCUAAAAGAGAAAGGGGAAAAGAAUACCAGAGAAAAAAAGGGUUAAAGAGAAUAGUGAUGAUGUGAACCAGUUAACAAACAUCACAUGGUUGCUGGGUCUGAGAAAGCUGUGCAGACCCACCACCAUGAGCCAUUUCUUUUUUAGUAGACAAACUCAAAUAUACUUGUUUCAAUAAUUUAUACCAUAUCUUUUUGUUUAAUUAUUCUAAAAGCUGUAAACCCAGUUCAAUUUUUAUGAAAAUUAAGAAUAGUACUUGACACUGUAACUCUGAAUUGAAAUCUAACAUUGUAUAAUACUCAGUUCCAUCUUUAUCAGAAGCAGUAAUUGCUUGUAUUUUUACAUGUACAUUCAUGGUGAGUUUGAAUAGAUGCAAGACUACUUGUUUUUUCUUUUUUUUUUGUAAAUAGAGAAGUAAAAUCAUUAUCCCAUUUCAAUUGAAUAGCUUUGAAUAGUAUCUCAAUUAUAAAAUGAUUGUAGCUGAUACCAAACCCCCAAAAUCCACAUGCAUCACACAAAGCAAGAUAGUUGUAGGUAUAUAUAUGUAUGUAUAUAUUAAAUAAAGAAAGUUUUUAACAGAGAUCCAGAAAUGAGAUGGGUUGCACAUGGGGUUUGUGAGCAAAGAGCCAAAGAGGAAGAGUUAGGGUUAGUUGGCUGGGUGGUGAAUUUCUAAAUAAAAAUACUAAAUUGGGGAAGAAUCAAGUGGAUUCAUUCAUGAAGAUUUGCUUCUCUCUUCCUGCUCAUUCUACUUUCUUCAAAAACUUGGGAUAUCUUGUAAAAACUCAAGAACUUGAAAUGAAAGGAAUUGAAAAUUGAAAACAAACAUUUGACUAAACCUACAUUACAUUCCCCAAUUACAGUGCCUUCAAAAAUAUUGUUAAAGAGUAGAUACAAUUCGAUUAGAAAUCUGCGAUUUUACUGGGAUUUGACGAUGAUGAUGAUGAACUCGCUUUAAAUCAUCAAUAAGUAUCAUAAAUGAAUUCAAAAACCGAUCGUGAAUCCGAUUUACCUGGUAGAGAGAGGAACAUCUCAAAGCAUUCCUCUUGAAUGAUGAGAAGGAUAAAGCAGAUAGACUGAAACCGGCACAACAUAGAUACAGCCACUUGACCUUACCUAAAGAAUUUACUGCAUAAAUGGCUCUAAUGGGUUUUUGGGGUUUUUCCUUUUACAUGAUAAUACAUAACAAAACUGUAUCUAAGAUACUAGGACUUCGUGCUAGUCGGGGGUAAAGUCCCUAUCUAUCACAACAUCUAAUUAUGCUGGUAAAAGGCCGAUCAACUAAUCUUAAUGUUAAUUUACAUGCUUUUUUAAUCGACAGCAAUACUACUUCUUUCUGUUAGACCUAACUAUGGAUUCCCAGUUGUUUUAUUUUCUUUCUGGGAAUUCAACAGCGCUAAAUAUAAAUAUCAAUCACCUGCACUACAUGUACACCCUAACGUUAUGAGUUAUUGUACACACGGUCAUGGUUGCAGACAAACCAAGCUUUCAAUGUCUGCUUGAUCAUCUUUGCUGCUGCUGCUGCUGCUUUUCAAACCUGUGGCUUGUCUGGAUGCCGAGAGAGCUCUUUCUCGGCAAAAUGAAGGAGCCUUCUCAGUCUCAAAACCAUAUCACAGUGAAAAGGCAAUGCAGUUCGUCGGUCUAAGUAUGCUGGGCUCACUGUCAUCCAUGACAAAGCAUGAAGCUCCACCGCAACAGAUUCGAGAAUUAAAUGAGUUUCGAUUUCAAAAUCUCUGGUUUCUGAGCUUGAAGUUCUUCCCCCUUGUCUUACAGCUCCUUGCAUGAUCUUUUCUUGGUUAAUACUAUUACCCCCGUAAUAAUCAAUGAGACUGACUGAAAGAACCGAAGGCCAUUCUUCUUUCACGGUGAUCCUAUAAUCCUUCCUCAUUGAAGGUACAGCUUUUGAAACCACAAAACCGGUGGAUAGGGGGAUUGCAGAGCCCUUGCUGUGAAGGAGGUGAGCAAGUGGUGGGGAUUCAGCAGUAAGACAAGUGGGCAGCUGAAGAGGCGUCGAAGGCAGAAAGCGCAUACUUGGUGAUGGUAUCAACAUGUAAGAGACGGACGCAGAACCAAGAGACUUCACAGGGGUAAACCCUUCCAAAUAGCCUCCUAGACCCAUGCUACUGCCACCCUGAGUUCCUGCUGCAUAAUGAUAUCAGGAGAAAUACAUACCAAAAUAGAAUGUAAUCAGUCAUUUCUUUUGGCACUGAAAUAUCUUGGGUGCUCAAAAACCAAAUAAAUUUGUAAAUAUUCACAAAAAUCCUCUCUCAUGGUUCCUUUCUUGAAUGUUUAUAAUGAACUUAAGCAGAAACAUCCAGCAAUGAACCAUAGAAGCAGCUACAUAAAAAAUUUGGUUAAACCAGUUUCUCAUUGCGGAUAUCAAAUUUUCCUAAGUAGACUUUUCAAACCUCUGAU
rnacentral:lncRNA from 1 species